AACGCUAGCUACAGGCUUAACACAUGCAAGUCGAGGGGCAGCAUUUUAGUUUGCUUGCAAACUAAAGAUGGCGACCGGCGCACGGGUGAGUAACACGUAUCCAACCUGCCGAUAACUCGGGGAUAGCCUUUCGAAAGAAAGAUUAAUAUCCGAUAGCAUAUUGAGAUCGCAUGAUUUUGAUAUUAAAGAAUUUCGGUUAUCGAUGGGGAUGCGUUCCAUUAGUUUGUUGGCGGGGUAACGGCCCACCAAGACUACGAUGGAUAGGGGUUCUGAGAGGAAGGUCCCCCACAUUGGAACUGAGACACGGUCCAAACUCCUACGGGAGACAGCAGUGAGGAAUAUUGGUCAAUGGACGAGAGUCUGAACCAGCCAAGUAGCGUGAAGGAUGACUGCCCUAUGGGUUGUAAACUUCUUUUAUAUGGGAAUAAAGUAUUCCACGUGUGGGAUUUUGUAUGUACCAUAUGAAUAAGGAUCGGCUAACUCCGUGCCAGCAGCCGCGGUAAUACGGAGGAUCCGAGCGUUAUCCGGAUUUAUUGGGUUUAAAGGGAGCGUAGGUGGAUUGUUAAGUCAGUUGUGAAAGUUUGCGGCUCAACCGUAAAAUUGCAGUUGAAACUGGCAGUCUUGAGUACAGUAGAGGUGGGCGGAAUUCGUGGUGUAGCGGUGAAAUGCUUAGAUAUCACGAAGAACUCCGAUUG
rnacentral:rRNA from 1 species